UAUGUGGUGAAGAUAAAUUUUAGAUAAGUAUCAAAUUUAGCCAAUGUCAAUACACGUGAUCACGUUUGCAUUUUGUAUUUAUUUUAAUGAACCACACCGAUGUUCUAAGUCCAAUAACUUGGCCAGAAAAAUUGAACUUGAUCGAUCACAUGUGUAUUUAUUAGAGUUCAAUCAAAUUAAAUUGGAUUUCAGAUUGUAAGACGAGAUAAGAGACCAAACCUCCGUAAGGUGUGGGAUUUAAAAACAUUUUUAUUACUGGGCUAGCCGUGGGUCAAAUAAAAUCAAUUGCCAUAAUAAAAAAUUUUUCCAGUGCCGACUUCUAAUUGUUCAUUUCAGACGAUAUCUUGUUAAUUGCUAUAGGUUUGAUGGUGAUCAGCAGUGCAGUUAAUUAUAAAAACAUUCGAAAGUGACACUUGGUCAGACUCCUGUCUCUCUCACAACCCUUGGCUUAUAAAAAAAAGCGCGCGCUUUUGAAGAAUUAGUCCAAAACCUUUUCAAUCCCUUCGAAUAAGAAUGAGCCGAGGGUGAAGGGCCUAUAUGCCUUAGUCUGCUCAACAAGGUGACGUGAUCCUUUAGAAAGCAUCACCUCAAUCUCUUCCCACAUUGCUCCUGCGUCUUGUAUUUAUUGUACAAGCUAGGCGUUUCAGCUCGGAGUUUCUGAAGCUCUGCUUUUACCAGUCUUUUUUUUGGGACAGCUGACUCAAUACACCCUGUGCUGUGUAUGAGUUUGUAAAGAUCGGUAGAGACUAUUUUGAAUCUAGCCCAGUUCGUGUAGUGAUAAGCUACAUGAUAACGCCAAACAGAGGUAGGUACUGCCACAUUUUGUUCAAUACUCCUUUGCACGUCACUGACAGAAUAGAACACCAAUUUUUGGUAUAUUUAAUGAGAAAAAUAUUAGAGACUUGUGCCCAGAACAAGUUGAUCUAUGGACUUGUGGUAGGUAAACUUUUGUAGAACUGGAUAUGCUGCGAUCAACGAUGCCAAAGGUUUUUGUUUAAUAUUUGACAUUGACGUUCGAAUUUUUUGUUGGCAGUUCUCACCUUUCGUUAUUCAUUAUCGGUAGUCGCUUUCAACAGAAUUGUGGUGUGUCUGAAGUGCUUUUAGUCGAAAUGCAUAACCAUUUACAUAGUAAAGCUAAGGAAUGGGAGGCUAGUUUCAUCCAUUAUUUUGAAAUGGACUAUGAAGAUUGUGAUCCUUUAUUUCCAUUGGGAAGAUAGAGGAGUGUAUCCUUAUAUAAAAGCAACUUUGUUCAUAUUUUUAUUUUAGCGUUCGUAGACGUUACCAUAGUAUAAUCCUUCAUCACUAGAUACUCAACUCCUUUUGGAAAUACAUACCGAUUUUUUCAGCGUAGCAUUUACGUAUAUGCGUUGUGGUAAUGUCCCAACAACAACUUUUGGUAUCUGAAAAAACCGUAUAUUCGUUUAAAGGGUUCCCUCCUACUGCAUAAAUUUGUUGUUACUAUUUGCCUUAUAACGUGAACUGUUGUUUGGAGAAAACAAAAUGAAACGUGGGUAGAUUUGUUCGUCGUUGGACUCCUUAUCUGUCGCAUUCCUCCAAAUCCCACCCAGAUUUACGCAGGCUCACCAAUAAAGCUCUAACGAGCCUCCGUACGUACAGAGAAUUUUAUAGGGUAGAAAAAAUGCACAAUCUAAAUUAUAUAGAUACGGAAUUAUAAUCUUGUGUGUGUGAAUUUUUGUUUAUGCAUUGUAAGGAAAUCAAUUAUUUCAUUUAUGUAUAACCCGGUUUUUUAUUUAACCGUAAGACACGUUGAUACAGUCACCCGCAGACUGGUAUCUCGGAUACAUCUGUAACAUUGCGUCUUAUGGAGCCGUUCACACACGCAUACUUCUCGCAUACAGUACCGGCGACUAAAUUUCGGUUUCCCGCUAGGUCCAGUCGCCCGGAGAUUUUACGACUUUAGGGAACUGAUGGGCUAUUGGUUCAUAUGGAACUCUUUACAGGAGGGUACCUUUUCAUUAGCAACCGGUCAGUGCUGUUCGUCACCUCCGCCCGAAGAAACAAAAUAGUCAUAAAAUGGAGCGCACCUUUGAUGUAUUAAACCCGCCCGCCACUGCACUGAAAAUCGAAGUACCUCACUGCGUAAGGCUGGAAUUCUGAUGACAAAGAUACAGUAUUUCGCAUACAGUACCACCGUGUAAAAGAGCUCUAAGGAAGCUAAAAGAUGCAAAUAGAGUAAAUAAAUAAAUACUGCACUAUGUGUGCAUAUUUAGGGUGAGAUAAAUGAAUCAGAUCAUUGUAAUAAGGUAAGAACAAAGAGAUCCGAGUUAAAUACGUCUAUCGCAACCCAAAGUUAAAUGACAAAUAAUGAGACAGGAGGCUUUAAGCGGCGUUACAUGGGGCGAACCUGCGCCGCGUUGUCGCAAAGCGCGAGGUGCAAUUUUAAGUCAAUCAGUCCUCUGAAUGGAUCCCGAAGACUGAAAUUAAUCCAAUAGCGAAAAUCAUAUCGAUCGAGCCACCGUCAUGCUGCGGACGAAGGUUUUCGCAGCAUUUCGAAGAAAGAAAACAAGAAGCUUGAACAUAUCCACGGCGUACCAGGAUGCCAGAAGCGGCGU